rnacentral:rRNA from 1 species
UGGGAAUAUUGCACAAUGGGGGGAAACCCUGAUGCAGCAACGCCGCGUGAAGGAUGAAGGCCUUUGGGUCGUAAACUUCUGUUCUAAGGGAAGAUAGUGACGGUACCUUAGGAGCAAGUCCCGGCUAACUACGUGCCAGCAGCCGCGGUAAUACGUAGGGGGCAAGCGUUAUCCGGAAUUAUUGGGCGUAAAGAGUACGUAGGUGGUUUUCUAAGCACGGGGUUUAAGGCAAUGGCUUAACCAUUGUUCGCCUUGUGAACUGGAAGACUUGAGUGCAGGAGAGGAAAGCGGAAUUCCUAGUGUAGCGGUGAAAUGCGUAGAUAUUAGGAGGAACACCAGUGGCGAAGGCGGCUUUCUGGACUGUAACUGACACUGAGGUACGAAAGCGUGGGGAGCAAACAGGAUUAGAUACCCU